GGAAUAAACUUAUUGAACUUAUAAAACUUAUACACCUUAUUAAACUAGUUUUUAUUCGCUAGCGAAUAAAAACCGGAGAGGAAGGCGAGGAUGACGCCAGGUCAGCAUGUCCCUUGAUAUCUUGGGCUACACGCAUAAUACAAUCGCCGCUACAACGCGUUGCGAAGGGGUAACCCUGAGCUAAUCGUAAGAAAAGCGGCGUCAGUUCGGAUUGGGGGCUGCAACUCGACCCCAUGAAGUUGGAAUUGCUAGUAAUCGCGGGUCAGCUAUACCGCGGUGAAUACGUUCUCAAGUCUUGUACUCAGAAUGAAAUGCGCU
rnacentral:ncRNA from 1 species